UACGAAGGGUGCAAGCGUUACUCGGAAUUACUGGGCGUAAAGCGUGCGUAGGUGGUUUGUUAAGUCUGAUGUGAAAGCCCUGGGCUCAACCUGGGAAUUGCAUUGGAUACUGGCAGGCUAGAGUGCGGUAGAGGAUGGCGGAAUUCCCGGUGUAGCAGUGAAAUGCGUAGAGAUUGGGAAGAACACCAGUGGCGAAGGCGGCUCACUGGUCCGGUACUGACGCUGAGGUGCGAAAGCGUGGGUAGCAAACAGG
rnacentral:rRNA from 1 species